AUGGGUGUGGCCUAAGGAAGGCCCUUGCAUUCCCAUAAGGAGGUCUAGGUUCAAAUCCUAGUACCCAUA
rnacentral:tRNA from 1 species